rnacentral:lncRNA from 1 species
ACGCGGGUGUGCAGUAGCUUGCCGAGAAUACCAAGUAUUUAGACGAUUCAUCAAGACUGACUGGAGGUGAGAUACAGUGUCAUUGCUCAUGAAGUAACUUGAAGUUUGUUGUAGAUUUGUGAAACGCUUCAGUGAUGUUUAGCACUGGGCUCUGAGUUCAUGUGUAGACAAAAGUGCAGUUUUGCUCUUGACAUGGCAGAACCUGAGAAGUGU